rnacentral:rRNA from 1 species
GCCGAGAGUAAUGACUGGACUAGACUGCGGGCCACCCUACCGCUUGUGCUUCCGGAUUAUCCGGACAUGGUAUCCUGGCGGCUCACGCCGACGACGGGGUUUUAAGUGAGCACGACAUACCAUGCCCUUUGCCUGUCGCUUGCCACUCCCUGGCUGUCCCCAUUAUGGAAAGCCCCCAUACCUUUAAAGAUUAAGAUUUUUGUUUGGCAACUUCUACGGGAUCGCCUCCCCUCGAGGACAAAGGUACUUAAGCGGCACGGACCUGGUGAUGGUCUAUGCCCUCUCUGUGUGGUACCAGAGACCGGGACCCAUAUCCUCUUCUCGUGUACCGCGGCAAGGGUACUAUGGACGUACAUCCGCAAGGCGUUGGGGCCUGACUGGGAGACCCUAAAUCUCGCGGAGUUUCUCCAACAUAGAGCUUUACAGCCGUCACGACAUCGCCGCCUAUUUUGGCUUAUUUUUGCGGCGAUGUCAUGGACUCUUUGGACAACUAGGAAUAAGAUGGUGAUCGAGAAGGUUUUUUCGAGGAAGGCAUCUGACUCCUUCAAAUUCCUUGCUUUCCUGCAGCACUGGUACCCGCUCUCGAGGCAGCUUUUGGCUUCAGCGCGUCGACUUGGCCUGAUGAUGGAUGUGCUUUUGGCUUCGGCGCGUCGACUAUCGUCCUCAUAG